rnacentral:rRNA from 1 species
CACCGGCUAACUCCGUGCCAGCAGCCGCGGUAAUACGGAGGGUGCGAGCGUUAAUCGGAAUUACUGGGCGUAAAGGGUGCGUAGGUGGUUUAGUAAGUUAUCUGUGAAAUUCCUGGGCUCAACCUAGGGUGGUCAGAUAAGACUGCUGGACUAAGAGUAUAGGAGAGGGUAGUGGAAUUUCCGGUGUAGCGGUGAAAUGCGUAGAGAUCGGAAGGAACACCAGUGGCGAAGGCGGCUACCGGCCUAAUACUGACACUGAGGCACGAAAGCGUGGGGAGCAAAACAGGAU